AGCAAAAUGGAUUCGCUCACAGUAAACUGAAGACAUGGAUGCAAUCCUGUGCUGAUGAGGUGGCACAUUCACUGACCCAGGACAACGAGCAAGAGUAUGAGCCAGACGGACUCCCGGAGCUGGUCAGAAAAGGCUUUGCUGAUAUUCCUACUGGGAAAACCAACCUCUGUGUUUUGCGCAGAA